AGAGUUUGAUCCUGGCUCAGAAUGAACGUUGGCGGCGUGGAUUAGGCAUGCAAGUCGAGCGAGAAACCCCGCAAGGGGUGGAAAGCGGCGAAAGGGACAGUAACACGUGGAUUAUCUACCCCUCGAUCUGGGAUAGCUGCGGGAAACUGCAGGUAAUACCAGAUGAUGUCUUCGGACCAAAGGUGUGAUUCCGUCGAGGGAUGAGUCCGCGUCCUAUUAGCUAGUUGGUAGGGUAACGGCCUACCAAGGCCAUGAUGGGUAGCGGGUGUGAGAGCAUGACCCGCGUCACUGGGACUGAGAUACUGCCCAGACACCUACGGGUGGCUGCAGUCGAGGAUCUUCGGCAAUGGGCGCAAGCCUGACCGAGCGACGCCGCGUGUGGGAUGAAGGCCUUCGGGUUGUAAACCACUGUCGGAGGGGAUGAAAUGCCCUGGGGUUCUCCCCAGGGCUUGACAUAGCCUCAAAGGAAGUACGGGCUAAGUUCGUGCCAGCAGCCGCGGUAAGACGAACCGUACGAACGUUAUUCGGAAUCACUGGGCUUAAAGGGUGCGUAGGCGGCGCGGAAAGUUGGGUGUGAAAGCCCUCGGCUCAACCGAGGAAUUGCGCCCAAUACUACCGUGCUUGAGUGAGAUAGAGGUGAGCGGAACUUAGGGUGGAGCGGUGAAAUGCGUUGAUAUCCUAAGGAACACCGGUGGCGAAAGCGGCUCACUGGAUCUUUUCUGACGCUGAGGCACGAAAGCUAGGGGAGCAAACGGGAUUAGAUACCCCGGUAGUCCUAGCUGUAAA
rnacentral:rRNA from 1 species